AAACGACUCUCGGCAACGGAUAUCUCGGCUCUCGCAUCGAUGAAGAACGUAGCGAAAUGCGAUACUUGGUGUGAAUUGCAGAAUCCCGUGAACCAUCGAGUCUUUGAACGCAAGUUGCGCCCGAAGCCUUCUGGCCGAGGGCACGUCCGCCUGGGUGUCACGU
rnacentral:rRNA from 1 species